GCCGGGGUAGCUCAGUUGGUUAGAGCACAGGACUCAUAAGCCUGGGGUCGGCGGUUCAAAUCCGCCCCCCGGUACCA
rnacentral:tRNA from 1 species